rnacentral:lncRNA from 1 species
GUGCAUUCAAUCUUAUUCAUGUGGUAGUUUACUAUAAACUGACCAAAUGAAUCAGGAAGUGACUGUAGGAUCAAAUCUACUUGCAAUUCCUUGUGCAUGUCCAUACCGAGCUUCUCAAGCUCCUCUAGAUCCUUGAUCAUAGUCAGACCAUGAUCAUGGACAGACUGCCCCUCGCUCAUCUUCGCUUUGAAAAGCCUCUUGGACACUUCAAAACGAGCUGUGCGACUUUGCUCACCAUACAACUCUUGCAGGUGUGCCAGUAUGUCCCUAGCAGUCUUCAUAUUUUCAUGCUGGCAUUGGAGUUCAUUAGACAUGGAUGCCAU